rnacentral:rRNA from 1 species
GAUGAACGCUGGCGGCGUGCCUAAUACAUGCAUGUCGAGCGAACGGACGAGAAGCUUGCUUCUCUGAUGUUAGCGGCGGACGGGUGAGUAACACGUGGAUAACCUACCUAUAAGACUGGGAUAACUUCGGGAAACCGUAGCUAAUACCGGAUAAUAUUUUGAACCGCAUGGUUCAAAAGUGAAAGACGGUCUUGCUGUCACUUAUAGAUGGAUCCGCGCUGCAUUAGCUAGUUGGUAAGGUAACGGCUUACCAAGGCAACGAUGCAUAGCCGACCUGAGAGGGUGAUCGGCCACACUGGAACUGAGACACGGUCCAGACUCCUACGGGAGGCAGCAGUAGGGAAUCUUCCGCAAAGGGCGAAAGCCUGACGGAGCAACGCCGCGUGAGUGAUGAAGGUCUUCGGAUCGUAAAACUCUGUUAUUAGGGAAGAACAUAUGUGUAAGUAACUGUGCACAUCUUGACGGUACCUAAUCAGAAAGCCACGGCUAACUACGUG